rnacentral:rRNA from 1 species
AGACCCGAAACCCGGUGAUCUAGCCAUGGGCAGGUUGAAGGUUGGGUAACACUAACUGGAGGACCGAACCGACUAAUGUUGAAAAAUUAGCGGAUGACUUGUGGCUGGGGGUGAAAGGCCAAUCAAACCGGGAGAUAGCUGGUUCUCCCCGAAAGCUAUUUAGGUAGCGCCUCGUGAAUUCAUCUCCGGGGGUAGAGCACUGUUUCGGCAAGGGGGUCAUCCCGACUUACCAACCCGAUGCAAACUGCGAAUACCGGAGAAUGUUAUCACGGGAGACACACGGCGGGUGCUAACGUCCGUCGUGAAGAGGGAAACAACCCAGACCGCCAGCUAAGGUCCCAAAGUCAUGGUUAAGUGGGAAACGAUGUGGGAAGGCCCAGACAGCCAGGAUGUUGGCUUAGAAGCAGCCAUCAUUUAAAGAAAGCGUAAUAGCUCACUGGUCGAGUCGGCCUGCGCGGAAGAUGUAACGGGGCUAAACCAUGCACCGAAGCUGCGGCAGCGACACUGUGUGUUGUUGGGUAGGGGAGCGUUCUGUAAGCCUGUGAAGGUGUACUGUGAGGUAUGCUGGAGGUAUCAGAAGUGCGAAUGCUGACAUAAGUAACGAUAAAGCGGGUGAAAAGCCCGCUCGCCGGAAGACCAAGGGUUCCUGUCCAACGUUAAUCGGGGCAGGGUGAGUCGACCCCUAAGGCGAGGCCGAAAGGCGUAGUCGAUGGGAAACAGGUUAAUAUUCCUGUACUUGGUGUUACUGCGAAGGGGGGACGGAGAAGGCUAUGUUGGCCGGGCGACGGUUGUCCCGGUUUAAGCGUGUAGGCUGGUUUUCCAGGCAAAUCCGGAAAAUCAAGGCUGAGGCGUGAUGACGAGGCACUACGGUGCUGAAGCAACAAAUGCCCUGCUUCCAGGAAAAGCCUCUAAGCAUCAGGUAACAUCAAAUCGUACCCCAAACCGACACAGGUGGUCAGGUAGAGAAUACCAAGGCGCUUGAGAGAACUCGGGUGAAGGAACUAGGCAAAAUGGUGCCGUAACUUCGGGAGAAGGCACGCUGAUAUGUAGGUGAAGUCCCUCGCGGAUGGAGCUGAAAUCAGUCGAAGAUACCAGCUGGCUGCAACUGUUUAUUAAAAACACAGCACUGUGCAAACACGAAAGUGGACGUAUACGGUGUGACGCCUGCCCGGUGCCGGAAGGUUAAUUGAUGGGGUCAGCGCAAGCGAAGCUCUUGAUCGAAGCCCCGGUAAACGGCGGCCGUAACUAUAACGGUCCUAAGGUAGCGAAAUUCCUUGUCGGGUAAGUUCCGACCUG